GUGCCUCACCACCCUCCCAGGAAAGAAGUUUUUCCUAAUAUCUGAUCUAAACCUACUCUCUUUCAGUGUGAAGCCAAUCCCCUUUGUCCUGUAACUAUACUACUGCCCUUGUAAAUAAUCUUGCCUCAUCUUUCUUGUAGGCUCCCUUCAGGCCACUUUUAGACCACUCCAAAGCCUUCUCUUGGCUGAACAAUCCCAAUUCUCUCAGCUUUUUCUCAUAGGAGAGGUGCUCCAUCCCCCUGAUUAACUUGGUGGCCUUCUCUGAACUUGCUCCAACAGGUCAAUGUCCUCCCUUCAAGUGUCAUUCAGGUGUAUUCCUUAACUCCUGACAGAACUGGGAUCAUUAAAAGUGAACAACAGACAGCAGUGCUUGAAUCUCCCUGGUAAAGAAAGUGCAAAGCUUCACUUAGAAGUUCAAUGAGAAAGAGUCAAAGUGGGAUGAUAAGUAUGAAUGAUGAUUCAACUGAUGAUGGAUUGGCCCACACUGUGAAAAUGAAGGGUGUUCAGCCCAGUUACUUAAAAGGCUUGGGUGUUAAGACUGGAGGUCUAGUACAGAACACUCUGCUCUUCAUUGAUCAUAAGUGAUGGAAAGUAAACAUUGUUGCACAGUGGGUGGAUCACAUGAGAGACAGCAAGAUUUGAGCUGCAAAAUUCAUAAAGCAAAAACACAAAACCCCAGAGCUUGGGCUGACAAAAUUGGAAUCCACAGUCUUGUAAAGCUAGUGUGACAGGCAAGCAGAGGAGCAUCAAGACCUCUUUUGCACACUGCAAGUAAAGUCCCAAGCCUGGAAUCUCUCUUGCACAGGGGAGCCCAUGUUAUAUCCUAAAAGGACAAAGACACCUGUUUUGAUAUCUAAUGUACUUGCUAGUGUUUUUCUUGCCCAUCCCUUCCCACUUCCCAGGGAUUCCAAUUCAGUUUGUCAGCAAUCUCAAAACACCCAAGUGAAGAGGAAGGGAAAAGCCUGCCUGGAGUGUGUGCUAACUCCUGAAGGUGUCACCCUGAAGGGGAUGAAAAAUGGAUGAGUGAUAGAGAGAUCUCCUGAGUACACCAGGAGGCAAGAAGGGGAGACAGCAGAGCUUACCAUUUCAUGCAGCUGGGCUGAGUGUUUGGGAAGGCUGCACAGUGAUCACAGGGUACACGAGACAGUGACCCCAAUGAGCAGUACAGCAGUGCCAGUGCAGCUACGGGAGUGACCCAUGGGACUUGGACUUGACUGCAGUCUGCUGAGGACCAGCAGCACAAUAGGAGACUGAUUCUCCAAUUACUGAAGAAUCUGUCCUCAAGAUUUUUGCAACACACAGUGUCACUGUGAAGAACCAAGCACGCUGCAAGCAUCAGGGUCCCUUCCAAGGCAAAGCCAAGGCCCAAAGUCACAUCAAGGACAGUAUGGAGGAGACAGAGGAAGAAAACAUGGUGUUGGAGAAAGCCAGAACUGCAUUAAAGCCAAAAUCUUGGUUUGGCAUCCUGAGAUGGGACCAGCUCUGUAUUCACACCUACAAGCUGUGGACUCUCCUGCUGUCACAGAGCCUUCAGAACUGAUGAAGGUGGUGGAUUUUUUGACUCCAGCCUUGGCUUAGCCUGGCAGGGAACCAGACUGUGGAGAUGCUCUGUCAGGAUACACAUUAGAAACAUGAGUUGAAGACACCAAAAAGCAGAAAAAAUGCGCCAAGAUCCCUAUCUCUAGUACCACUUACAGACAAAUACUGCUUCUGAACCCAAGCCAUGAGUGAAGCUGGUACAGGAGAAGCAGCACUGUUAGAGGAAGGAAUUCUGGCAAUAUCACCAUCAGGUAAGACCUGUGGUAUCCAUCUAGCUGGAGCUCCUAUCUGUCAGCUCUUACUUUCUUUUGUUUUUAACAUAUACCACAUUUUGUAAAGUUUUAUCAAAUUAAUCUUCCACCAAAAAAAGCGUUUAUCAUCAAGCUUGGCUGGGUUUUGUUCAUUUUUCAGAGGUUCUGAGAGGAGAGAGAGAGCAGCACAGAGUUGUGCAAUCCUUGAGCCAAAUUUAAAUAAUUCUGCCCUCCUUCUUGCUAAGGUGUCCCCUGAAUGACUGUGUCAGGUAUAAUGGUGUACUAGUUGUUUUUUUCCACCACAUGACUUCUUACAUCACACCUCACAUGUGGUUACAGAGGUCAGUGUUGGAAGAUUCUCUGGCUCCUGACAUGGAUUCAGUAUUCUGAGUUAGGACACUUGAUGCUACAGUACACAAACCAUCAUGUCUGAAACAGCCAUUUGCUGUAAAUAUGUGGUGUUACUGAGACAGAAUUAUAAUCCUUUCAGGCCCUCAGUGAGCACUCAGCCUUCUGGAAGCAAAAGCUGAAGUAAUAUUAGCAGAGGUCAUGCUUCAAGUACACUAAUUAUGUCUUGAGAAUGAAAAUGUGAAUGAGAAUGACCUGCCAUGAAAUUCCCAGCUACCUUACUAAUUAAUUAAGGUAGCAAAGUAUUUAAGUCUUUGUUGUUUAGAACUUGUUUGCUUAAUUAUUAAUUAGAAAAUUCAGGCUUUUUGUCUAAGAUACUCUCAGGUGACAAAGCAUGGUUCUGGCUGUCCUCAGCAGCAGUAAGGCCAGCAGGAACAGGUGAUUCAUGAGUAGAGCAGAAGGACUUCCAGGUUUCACUGAGGAAAUCUCAUAAGGCAACAUCCAGGUGGCCAAUAUGAAAAAUGGUCAUUUCUCUUCUGUCUCCACUUUGGAAUUGCACAACCCAUCCAUUGGGCAUGGCUUUGUUACUGUAUCAUCAAAUAAACAGCAAAAAAAUCCCAGAGAGACUGUAGGCUCCAGACAAACUCCUCUGGUGUGGCGUGGCAACAUGAAGUACUGUACUGAAGAGUAUGAGGAGUCCUGUAAGAAGUAGACAUUAUGCAAAAAUUGCUUGUGGCAGAAUUUGGACAGUAAAAUCAUCAAAUGAGGCAUUAAAGCUGCUUUUUCCUUUUUUUUGUUCUCAUUCAUGUAUUGCAUGAAUGACUACACUUUUUUUGGCACGUUUUUUACAAUAUUUUAAAAUAUUCCUGUUCCACCCACCUCACCUGAGAUUGUCCUGAGUAGGUGCUCAUGAGAAAGCAAUGGGUUGCAUUGAUGUUUUUCCUUGUGAUUUCACAACUGUUGAAAGCAGAGCUGACAACAUUUUAACCCUUACAUGUAGUGCUUUCUGCUGCAAUAGUCUGAAGGGUUCUUCUUACAGUCUCUGAUGUGACUCAACAGGCUGAAGAAUGGCUUUACCUUUCUGUGAAAUCUCUCACACUCUUAUUUUAAUGUUUUGUUCUCUCUGUUUUCUUUUAUUCCUGACUGCCCAGGUUUGAUCUGACUGUGAGGCUGAAGAGCCACAUGGUGGUUUGUGCUGGGACAGCACCAUGCCUUUGCACAUCUUUUCUACCGCUACGUGAGUGCAGGCUCCACAGGACCUUGCAAAAUGAGCCUCACUCUAAGAAGGUACCUCUCAGUUUAAAUUGGAUGAGUUGAUCUGUACCACACCAGCUGUUUUCCGUCAGCUUCCGAGAUGAUCAAACUAAUGAAUUGUAGCAUGAGGUUAUGUGGAAUCUCCCAGGCCACGCCAACUGUGUGCACUUUGCUGGGGACAAAGGCCUGCCAUUGCCUUUGCAGAUUGAAAUCUCCAGCAUUGGUGUCCUUGAAACGUUUUUCUAUUGGGCUGAUUCCAUACAAGUAGCUCCUGUAACCACAGACAUCCCUGUUGUGCUCAAAGAUGGGGAUUGUUUCUGUUGCUGCCCAAGCCAGGAAGCAGAACUUCACAGUUGCAGUUUGCCACAGUGGUGUGGCAAAAAGAGGGAGGACAAGAACCAUUCCCAGUCCUGACCCACAGCACCAAGAGAUUUGCUUCUGACCUGUUUUCACAUUACCCUCAAGAGAAUCUGCAGAGAUGUCCUUUACAACAUUAACAUGCAAGCUGCAGGUAGAGUGUGGAGAAAAUUCCAUCACCAUGGGGUGCUGACAGGAGAUACUCUUGUGCUGAUGGAAAUUACACACAAUUUCUGCAUCAGUACUAGGGUUAGGAAGGUUGGGGUUUUUUCUAUUAAAAAAAAAACCAAAAAUAGAUGCUUCCAAUUAUACAACCCUUUAUCCAAAAAAGGCCACGGGAGAAUCCAGAAUGUUUCCAAUCAAGUGGAGAAAGACUCUGGUCAGAAAAGACUUUCCUUCUCCUUCAUUGUGUUUCCCAACUCCCUCCUUCAAGUUAGCUGGAGCCUGGAGCAGCAUGGCUCAGAGCCAAGGAAUAAGGAUGGUACUGCUGAGGCUUUGUUUACUGUGUUCAAUGUGGAGGGAAAGGGUGAAGCAGUUAUUGCUCCAGACACUCCCAGUGCUACCUUGUUUUUCAUGUCAUUAUUUCAACAGGCAAAUCCCCAUAACAGCACUGACUCAACACUGUCUGUCCCCUCAGCAAUCUGGUGACAUCCUUUUCACUGCCAGUGGGUCAGUGCCAGCCAAGUGGAGGGAGGCUGGCUUGGUCCUCAGAGAGACUUCUAUUGCUGUAAUGAUCUGCUAGGGUUACUGACCUUGUACUUAUCAUCCUUUCAGAGAAUGCUUUUCAAAAGUAACAGCCUUAUUUUUUCAUCAGAAGGUAAUUACACAGUACAAAUUGGCCCUCAGGUUGCUCAGGGUAGAAAAAAAUCAAUGAAGGAAGUACUCUCCUAGAUACACACAGACUUUGGAAGGGAAAUAUUUUUGCUCCAGAAAAGGACAGAGGGAGGGAGCCAAACAGAAUAAAGUAGUGCUUAAAUAGCUCAUUAUUUCUUAGCUUUCCCUGACCCCCCAGUAAUCUGCAGCUGGCUGAAGGAGUCCCAGAACCAUGGCCCUAGACCACAACUCAGGUGCAGAAGACACUGGGAGAUGUAUUAUGGUGUCCUGCAAUGUGAUGUCAGUACUGGCACGUGGUUCACAGGCACAGAGUCGGUCUGCAGCAAUAAAUUCCCUGUCACAGGCCUGCUCCAGGGAGGAAAUGCUUCUUCUGAGUCACUGUCUGCAAUGGCACUGGGGACACUGACCCUCUGGGUUUCCAGGAGCAAUGGAACAUCUCCAGACACAGAGGUAAGCACAAGACUUGGGGUUAAGCUCAGGCUCCCUAUGUGGCCAUGGGUAUGUCACUGACCUGCUUUGCACCUCAGGUGCUCACCUGGGGAUUGGAUACAAGAACACCUCCUCUUCUAUCCCUUCCAUUUGUUGGCAAUCUCUUCAAGACCAGGCUUCCUUUUACUAGAUGUGUAUGUAGCCAUAGCCCUUUAUACAGGUGCUGCUUAAAUUAAAAUUCAGGACAUGUGUGUGCUCAGAGGGGUGAUAUUACCAUGUCUUGACACAACAGAAAUUGGUGUUACAAGUCAUUUUUCUUGUAGCACAUUUCAGUCUGACUGGGAUCUGUUCCCUAAAUGAGAAGCAAAGAAAUCUGUGGCACAGAGGAGUCUGUGUGACAGCCUUUCUGGACCAGAAGUCCCAGAAAGCACAUUAAAUUAAGCAUUUAGAGGUGAUCUUGUCAGGUAAAUGUCAUCUUCUUUGUUCAGUUGCUCCCUACCUGUGCCUAAUCAUCACAUGGAUGUCUAAUCAGCAGUGCUCCCAAACAUAACUGAGCAUGGCCCAGCUAAUCAAGGCAAAAUGGUAAGUGAUGCUUCUGCCCAGUCUGGGAACUGCAGAAUGCAGGGACUCUAAAUGGUGAGAUCAAAGACAAUGUUUUUGGAUUGGCCUGUGCCUGGUGUAAUGAACAAUACAGUAAUAUAAAAAUAUAUAUAUUAAUGUAUAUUACUAGAUUAGGCAUCUAUUUCUUCAGAAGCCUAUCCACAUACUGCUAUGAGUCUUCUGAUCUCAUGAAGAGAAAUGGACAACACAUUAAGUUGACAGAAUGAGUGGCACAUUAAAAAGAGUAAUGAGGUGUCAAAUUGUGUAUUUGUAUUUCCCAAUCAGCCUUUCCUGAUGGAUUAGACCAUAGGUGUGUUACUUUGGCUACAUGUGCAGCUGAGAAAAAGCACUUCCAGUUACAUGGCUGUAGUUGUGUUCUUGUAUGGAAGUGCCUGGAUUCUACAGAGCCUGAAAUUACUUCAGUAACUUCCAUGCAUGUAGGCAAGUGUAAGAGUUGUAAAUGGGAGAAAGGUUGGCUCUGCCUUGCACUGCAUUCCUUUGAUAAUAGCCUACCUGUCUUUAGGCAGGACCAGCAGGACAUAGAUGUGAACCGAUUUCCUAGUCUUAAUUAUAAAUGGCAAGUCACAAGGUUUAUUUGCAUAAACCUGAGAGAUGGUAGAAAAAGUCUGAAGGAGAAUGAGGAGAUAAGCUCUUUUCUGAGAAUAAGGUCUCAUGAAAGAAUUUUGCCAUACAGUGCUACAUUUACAAUCCAGGGGAUUUACCUGAUGAGGUCCCAUGUCAAUGCAACAAGAAGUAUUAAGUACUUCAAGAAAUGUGUUUAAAUACAGGCUGAAAAUGGAAGAUUUGCAGUGGACAGUGGAAAUUAAAUUGUACAUGCAGUUCCCCUUGAUUUCCCCUGAGCACUCUGUAGGCUAUUUAUGCCUCAGAGCAACACCAGCAGAGCAAUAUCCCUCCCUCUACAAGAUCACCUGCUUUGGUUUAUAAUUGGGUGUAAUUUAAUCAUGCGUUUCUAAAGUGCUUUGGGAGCCAAAUAUCCGAAAACACUUUACAAUUCAAUGGCAUUAGUGAGACAAUACAUUGAUACAUCCUUGUGGAGCAAAAGUCUGACACCUCAGCUACAGCCAAAGAAACAAAGAAAUUAAUUGCUUGCGUAGAGUUGCAUAGCAGAUUAAUGGGAGAAUGAGAUUUCCAAUUCCUUCUCCUCUUGCUUUUCAGUUUAUGUUUAUGUGUUGAGACAGGUAUGCUGGUCAGAUGCCAAGAGAAAUGUGGUGUAUUAUUCAUUCUUCCUACUCCCUGGGUUUUCCCUGAUGGGAAGUAAGGUCCAGGUCAUGAAAUGUCAUACCCAAGCUCUUUAGGAUUUGUACUUAUGCACAAGAAGACUCAGUGUGCUGAUGGUGCUGGCUCUGGUUGCAUGUUUGUGUGUGCAGUGGGAAGCAGCCUGCAGUCACUGUCCCCAGCAGCAUUUUGGCUUCAAGAUGGAGUAUCCUGGGAAGGACAGUGCUUCCUGCUUCAUGGCCCCACUGAGGAGCCACAGCAUGUGGCAACAGCUGUGCCCUGAGCUGGGCACCAUCAGUGACCCCAGUACAGGGGCACCCUUAGCAGCGCCUCCAAGCCUAGAAUGUGGCUCAGCUCAACAAGAAGCACCUGCCCAUUGAUGAGCCCUACAACCUGAAGCUGCAAGCUGAUCAUCUGUGGUGGGUCAGGUGUGCAGCCACUGGGACUUGUUGGGGGUGAUUCCCUGCAGGCUGAGGAACCGUGAGAUUUCAUGUCUGAAUGCAGUUCACACCCUGCUGUUUUCCAGGACAAACACACUUGCUGGGACUGGCACUGUGGAUCUCACUCCUCUGGGCUCUCUCUCUUGUCCAGAGGAAGGAGUUUCUCAGGCUGUAGGUGCUGGAGCUGCAAGGGCUACAUUGUAGGAACUUGCCUUCAUAUCCAAAAAAUACAGACUAGCUGUGUCUUCCUUUGAAGUCCCUGUGAUUUAUCUUCUGUUGUUUUAAGGCAGUCUUGUAUCCCUUAAAACGGCUUAUUUUGGCCAGCAGUCCUCAUGAAUUCCCUAAAAUGGCUCAGAAGCAAACAUGGCCAGUUCUCAGUCUCUAACCAGGCUUGCUCUGCAUCCAUGGCAUACUUAGCACUUCCCAGCUGUCCAUGGAUGCACUCUGACAAUAGCCUUGUGCUUUUUUUGCACAGACAUUGCACUGGGUACUUCUGUUCUCUUCCUUUGUAAAAUGGAAGGAUUUUGCCAACAUUGUAUGACAGCUAGUAAGGUUUCCAAGACAAAAAGAGGAAGCAAAUCAAAUAUUACAUAUCCCACUCUCCCUUGCCUCUUGUUGAAACCAGUGAAUCUCUAAAUCAGGUUGUGACACAGAGCUUAGUUCCGGCUGGCUCAAGUUGGUGGUGUGAGCAUGGACUCUUCCAGGUUCAUAGGGUGAGGUUUUGCAAACAUGUUUUAGAGACAGGCCCUGGUGCCUCAGGCCUGUUAGUGUCCUCUUAAAGGGGACAAGAGAGGCUGCCAGGCACAGCUUGAAAUGAAACUGAUACAGCACCAAUAAUGAGGAACUAUAUUUGGAAAGAUCUUUCAGGGCUAUUUUUGUCUGAGAUCAUUACUUCUGGACAGUCUGCUGACAACUGCUGGGCACACAAACACACCCCACCCAGGGUUUGGUUCUCUCUGCUAAUGUGGAAGUAGCUCACAGGGGGUCAGCGGAGGGAAAGGAUGCUCACACUGUGUUUCCUGCUCUGAUUUUCAAACUGAUCUGUGCUUGUGUGUACAAUACACACAACACCUCUUCACCAAGCCAGCAACUGCCCACUCAAAAGACUGGAAGCAAUUCUCUACCAUUUUUCUAAAAAUUCCUGUUGUUACCAUGUGUCCUACUUCCCAUGCACCCUGGUAUACUCCUCCCUGCAGCCACAGCUGGGGCACACCUUUCCUGUCCCUAAAAUCAGUGGGAGCUUUCUCUGUUCCCAGCCAGGCUGAUGCAAGGAAUCCUGGCAGUGCUUCACCCUGCUCAGGGAAGGCAGGAAGGCCUGGGGGGCACGAGAACAGCUCCCUAUCCCCUCAGAGAUCUGCUUGCUGGGUGGCACUUAUCUUCUGCCCUCCCACACUGGCUUGUUGAGCUGAGCACGGGUACAAAAGGAACACACCUCUUCAAAGUUAUUCAAAGCAGCAGAGCUGGCUGGGGAGUGAGGCUUGCAAAAGCGCUGUAUGGGUGAGGUGCUGAUUUAUACCCAGGUUCCUCAAUGGGAGCCUAUGUCUGAGAGCUCCUGGGGCUCCUCCUUGUCUUGACCUGGGAAGUUUCUGGGUAGGGUCUCUCUGCUGCCAGAUAUUUGCAGCUGAGGUGGAAAUCAAGAGUCAGAAUAAGAAACUGUAGAACUGACUUUAGCAGAUGAGGCAUUCCUGUCAAAUCCAGCUUAACUGCAGAUUUGUUUUUAUUCUUUUAGGAACUACAUUCUUGAUAAUUUUAGUUCUGGAAGAAAGGUAGUUACUGCCUGGAGUUGGGCACUGUAGGCUGGAAGGCAUCAUGCCUCAUGUGGAAACAAGCACUCUUCAUUAGGAAAUGAGCCCAUUCAGACCAGGACUUACAAGAUUCUCUUUAGGGACAUUUUUCAGAGACUUUCAGUGGUCUGUACCUGCUGACAGGCUGUCCUAUGGGAAAGGAGUAAGGACUGACCUAAGGGCAGAGCAAAUCUGCUGAUUUGAGUGUGAAGAGUAGCUGAUUUCGGUGUUGAUUCCACAGAGACUAAGCCUCUAUCUCAGCACCUCUUAAUAUAUUGUGGUGUGUUUGCCUCAGCUGGACACCUGGUGCAGACCAAAGCCAUUUUAUCACUACCCUCCCACAGCUGGACAGGAGAGAGAAAAUUUAACAAAAGGCUUAUGAAGCAAGCUAAGGACAGGGAGAUCACUUACCAAUUACUGUCACAUGCAAAACACACUCAGCUUGGGGAAUUUAUUACCAAUCAAAUCAGAAUAGGGUAAGGAAAGUAAACUGCUAAAUUUUAAAACAUCUUUCCCCUACUCCUCCCUUCUUCCUGGGCUUAACUUUAUUUCAGAAUUCUUUACUUCCUUUAUCCACUGGUGCAGGUGGAUGGGGAAUGGGGUCUGUGGUCUGUUCAUCAUGCCUUAUCUUUGCCCCUCUCUCCUCUGCUCUCACAUAUUCUCGCUCCCCUCUUUAGCUGCAGUUGCUGUUGCAGUUUUCUUCCCCUUCUCAAAAGUGUUGGCACAGAGGCACUUGGACCCAUUGCUUCUGCUGGACAGAAGGGAAGAUUCCAGCAGCCUCUCACAGAAGCCACCCCUGCAGUCCCCUCCUGCCACCAAAGCCUUGCCACACAAACCCAGUACUUAUGUACUCUUCUAUUUCUCUUCUUUAAUUGCACUCUUCUGCUUAGCCAUGUUUUUCAGUUUUAGCCGUUUCAUAAUAUUUACAAAAACAAAUAGGGCAUUGCACCACCUCAAUGAAACACAGCAGCAGCUCUGCUGCUCUUGGAGCUCAGAAGGGGUAAAUAUAAUGAAUUUUCCUCAGGCUGGGAGGGGGCAGGUUGCAAAGAGCACAAAGACUGUUAAACCCAAAGUAAAUUAUUCAGAAUGGUGCUGAAGUGAACAAGGGGAAUGGGAGUGAAAAUGAGAACUCCCUAAAUCUGAACUGUCACUUCCUACAAAAACUGCGACCAGAGUUUUUCCUCUAUACAGUGGAAAGCCUUAUAGAGCUUUAAAACCUUUAAAAAUUUUAUGAAGCUUUUUAUCCAUAACUUUUUGAGACUUGCACUCAAAACAUAGGGUUGACUGCACUAAUUGUGGCACUUAGUCCUUUUCUUUUCUUUAAAAAAAGAUGGACACAGGGACAGGAAAUUUGCAGAAGUUGAAACAUAAGAUAUAAUUAGUGGAACUAGCUGUGCCUGGUCUGGCAUGCAGAACAGCAUUGUUGUGGCUGUGUAGUUUGUCUUCAUGUGGCUCAAAAUGCAGCUGCCCUUGGCUUCUCUGAGGGUCAGUUAGACCAGGUGGUAGAGUGGGAAUUCUGCUCAGCAGGGGCACGUCCAGUGUUUUCAUCUUCCUUCCCUCUAAGUGAUUUUGUACUGUAGGAUGUCAAAGGUGAUAUUUCUAAUACCCUCUGCUAUUGUAUCUUAAUGGUAAUAAAAGGAGCCAAAGAUUGGAGAGAAUCCUGCUUCCAAGUUCAAGAAGAGACUUGGAUUCUGCCUCCUUUUCUCCAGAUAGCCCAGCAGGAGCUCCAUGGUAUUUUAGGCUUCUUUAUGUGAGAUUGCAUGUAAACACAGAGUAAGCAAUAAAUCUGAAGCACUUCAAUCCUUGCAAUACCAAGUAAAUAGAGCUUUGCACAUGAGGAGUCACUUUGUAAAAGAGCUGGCCACAGAAAGUGCAGAAACUUUACUACUGUGGCCAUGCCUAAAUAAGGGAUUACAGAAAAUCUGAACCACUGAACAGGCUGACAGAUAGAUCAAUAAAAAUAUACAUUGGUGCUGGUUCUUUUAAUGUAGACUAAAAUCUUCCAGGAGCCAGUUCUGGAAUAAAAAUACAGCAGUGGUGAGUGACCCAGACACACUCAGUCUGAGAAUAUUGUAUCACUUUUGUUCCAUCUGGAGCUAGGAAGGAGGUAUGAGGAAACAGGAUGCUCCUCCCAGCAGGCCUCUAAGAUUUUAAAAGGAAUUGUAAAAGACAAAAUAAAAGGAAGAGGAGAGAAUCACUCCCUUUUGCCUCCUGUUAACCCCUUUAGGCUGCCCUGAAGAUAAUUUGGUUGUAUUUCUGUCUGGUACUGAUUAGUUCUCACAUCAGGAAGGGGAGUAUGAAGGAGUCUCCAUUAAACCUGCAAGCAGAUCCAUUUAACUGACUGGGAGCACUCACACCCACUGGGUUUCUAUGCUAUAAAUCCUUGGAACCUGUUCCACUGGUGACAGAUGGCCUGGUUCAGGAUUAAUGAAACAAAAUAUCUGUGCCACUGCAUCAAACAGCUGAAGAAGCUGGCAUGAGAUCCCCAGCCAGAGAAAAGUGUGCAGACUCCUCCACUCCUUUCCUCCUGGAAAUGUUUCCUGGGGUGAGAGGAGAGAGAGGUUUGGCCAUAAGUCUGGGAAUUGCUGGCAGUGAGCAGUCUUCCUGGAGCAGCGCUGUGCUGCAAGCUCCCUUCUCCCUGGAAGUGUGGACAAAUGGCUACUGUCUGUGGGACUGGCUGGAGCAGCAAGGGACGAGCUUGCUCCUGAGACUGGCAUCCCAGGGCAGCCAGGAUGUGGUGUGACACCAGCCCAGUGCCUGGCUGGUUUGGGUUGGAUUUGCUCUGUAGGGUGCACGUGGGUGUUUCGAGGGUUCCCCAGGUAGGAAUGCUGUGGCUGACUGUGGCAGUCAGCUUUAGUGGGGUGCUGAGCAGCUCCAGCACA